rnacentral:lncRNA from 1 species
AGAAACAGAAUUUGUUAGAAGUAAUGCCUCUUAGGUAUGCAAAUUCAAUAUAAGGUGGAAAAGAAGUCCACAAGCUAUAAACUAGAGACUAAAGCUACAAAAUUAAACUAAUAUUAUUGCAGAAAAAUACUGAAAAUACCAAAGGAACCACAAAGAGAUGUCCUAACAUCCUUUUAUGCUCAGAAAGUCUUCUUAUUUCUUUUUCUUUUUUUUUUUGUUUCUAGUAACUAAACUCCUAGUUAGAUUAGUGAAACUAACACUAAUAACUUCUUCAAUUAAAGCAUAAAAAAGAUUCCUAGGACCUGCUCGUGUCUUGUACAAAUUAUUUGUACGCUCUGUUGUGUCCAUAAAGAGUGUUUGAGCAUCACACACUGGUUAUUGACUCCUGUUCUAGCAGGAAAACAACACUUAAAUAUUUGUUUCUUUGGCCUUCUUUCAUGAUGUACUUGUGGGCAUAGGACUCUCAGAAGCUUUAGGAUAUACUUCGUUAAACUAAUUUCCUGUUGAGUAGACCACUCCUUGUUGAUGUAGGACUCUUGCAGCAGCAUGCGGGUAGGACUCUUGCAGGCAGGCAGCAUUCUCAUUCUGGGAUUGAUGCUCCAAACAUAAAGCCUACAUUUUAUAACAAUGAGUAGUUUUGACUUUUGAGCCUUCUGACUGCGAAUGUAUGUACCUGUAGACGUAUCAGAGAAACAAGAUGGGUUAAUUAGGAUUAGUGGAACAAAAGAGGUAGAGAAAGACUUGAGCGAACUCUAUUGCAAGCAAUAGAAAAGAAAAUUUACUGCUAUUGAUGUUGCCGUAGACAUCAUUAGGCUGCACAACUCUGCAUUAGCAGGAGCCUCACGUAUUGAGGCACCGUCUUUUGAUAUUGUUGCAACAAAACUGCAUUGAUCGUAAAAACAAUUUUGCAGGCAACCCAAACAGUCCUGGCCAUAUGCUUUUUUAUUGACAAGCUGCUGUUGCUGCAUGUUUUAGCAGAUAACUUUUGUUUUCUGCCUCGAUUGCUGGACAAACAUUAUUUAGGUUUCUUCCAAAUCUUUGUGAAGCGACAAUUAUAUACGGUCACAAAUGCUAUAACUAAACUUGCCAAUCAAUUACGGACAAACUUAGUUUCGUAAUUCAAAAAAUAAAAUUUCGGAUACCAGACUCAUGCUGGUCCAUGGCUGCACCUGUACGGGGCCAGUCCUUUAUAGCGUUAUGGCAUACCGACACAUGGUACACUGGAAUGUAGCUGAGAAGAAGAGGUGGUGAGAGAAGAGAAGGAGAAGAGUCGGAGAAGAGGAGGCAUUGAAGAAGAGGAGGGAAGAGGGGGCGCUGGAGGAGAAGAGGAGACGGGAUGAGAGAAGGAGAAGAGGAGGUGGCGGCUGUGGGCUUGAAACAGGCUGUAAACCUGAUUCACAGGGUUUACCGCUCAAUAGUAAACCCUGUUCACAAAUCGGGUGGGUCUGCAUUCCAGUCCUCCCAGUUUGUCAAACUCCGCUUGGUAUAUUAACAUUUGUGGAAACUAUUAUUUGUCGUAUGUUCCAACUUAAAUUUUGAGAAUACAUGUUGGUCACAUAUUCCUAACAAGUGAACAUUUAUAUAAGUAGAUGCUACAUAGUUUUUUACUUUGACAUGAAGAGAAAAUUUUCUUAAAGAGAGUUCAUGCUGUGUCUUUUUUAACCUUAUAUGUCAUCUUUUCCCUUUUUUGUUAUGAUGCAGACAUGAGCCUGUGUUUUAUAUGCCAUGUCAUUGCCUUUGGGGACACCAAAUUAUUCUUUGCCCAUUCUUUCUCAUAUAUAUCAUCUCUCUGAAACACGGGUUGCACCUGUGUUUUUCUCUGUUUAAUAUUUUUCAUAUUUCUAACAAAUAAUAGUACAAUCCUUUUAGUUUAAGUUGGAUUAAUUUCUCUUGUUCCAUCUGACAAACAUUGUUGAUUUCAAGUUGCAUAUGGGGACUCAAAUGGUGAUUUACUAAUCCAAUUAUGUGUGAAGUUUAUGAAAAUCUUGCAUUCAUGAUUUUGGUUACUGAUUAUGACUGGAAGAGGGGCAUUAAUUUCUGCUGACUGUGAGAUACUUUUUUACGAUUGCCUUUUAGCAUAUUGCUUAGGUGGAAAACUUUUAAUUACAAAGAUGCUUGAGUGCCUCCGUUAUCAUUUGACUGAUGAUGUGUGUUGGAAACCUCCAGAGAAAGUCAUUUGCAAUGUUUCUACGAAAGUCAACUGGAUGUAUAGUUCAAGUACUUAAGUUAUUAUUUGUGGUCCUGUUGCUUCUUCUCCACCCUCCUCGAGUGGUAUCAUUUGGGAUAAAUAUUCUUUUUAUUUUCUUUAUUGAAUAUUAAAGAAAUAAGAUUAAAAAA